AAUGGGGGAAACCCUGAUGCAGCAACGCCGCGUGAGUGAAGAAGUAUUUCGGUAUGUAAAGCUCUAUCAGCAGGGAAGAUAAUGACGGUACCUGACUAAGAAGCUCCGGCUAAAUACGUGCCAGCAGCCGCGGUAAUACGUAUGGAGCAAGCGUUAUCCGGAUUUACUGGGUGUAAAGGGUGCGUAGGUGGCAGUGCAAGUCAGAUGUGAAAGGCCGGGGCUCAACCCCGGAGCUGCAUUUGAAACUGCAUAGCUAGAGUACAGGAGAGGCAGGCGGAAUUCCUAGUGUAGCGGUGAAAUGCGUAGAUAUUAGGAGGAACACCAGUGGCGAAGGCGGCCUGCUGGACUGUUACUGACACUGAGGCACGAAAGCGUGGGGAGCAAA
rnacentral:rRNA from 1 species